AUCAGGCAAAGAAAAAGAAAUUAGCAAAAGAUUGCUGGACAAGGUACUUAUAUAAUAACACUUAUGAUUUCUCUAUCUGUGACACUACUACCUAGUUAUUAGAUAUCAAAAGUCUAUGCAAACUGUUGCAAUGACUUCAGAUUAGUAGAAAGUUUAAAAACAGCAAAAGGUUUCUGAACAUUGGAGUUGGAAGUUAUAUUUCAAUCCUGAUUUUAAGAAUCAUCAAGCCUUAUUUUUAAUUCUAACAAUAUCAUUUUAGUGAUUGUCACUAUUAUCUAAUGAUUUUGUGA
rnacentral:lncRNA from 1 species